rnacentral:rRNA from 1 species
GAUGAACGCUAGCUACAGGCUUAACACAUGCAAGUCGAGGGGCAGCAUGAGACGGAGAUUCGUCGAAGUCUUGAUGGCGACCGGCGCAAGGGUGCGUAACGCGUGAGCAACUUGCCCGUUUCUGGGGAAUAACCGGUGGAAACGCCGACUAAUACCCCAUAGUAUCAGAUUUAGGCAUCUUUAUCUGAUUAAAGAAUUUCGGAAACGGAUAGGCUCGCGUGACAUUAGCUAGAUGGCGGGGUAACGGCCCACCAUGGCGACGAUGUCUAGGGGUUCUGAGAGGAAGGUCCCCCACACUGGAACUGAGACACGGUCCAGACUCCUACGGGAGGCAGCAGUGGGGAAUAUUGGGCAAUGGGGGAAACCCUGACCCAGCAACGCCGCGUGAAGGAAGAAGGCCUUCGGGUUGUAAACUUCUUUUAGCAGGGACGAAAACAAUGACGGUACCUGCAGAAAAAGCAACGGCUAACUACGUG